UGUGGUAUCCACUAGUGUAAAUAUUUUAAAUUGAAGAUCGAAUUCAAUCAUUGUAUUCAUAUAAGGUCAAGGAGUGUAUUUGUAAAAAAUCAUCAAAAUCGGAGUUAAAUUAACCGUUAAAUCGUGAAUUUUCGUUUAUAACCGUCGAAAUGUUUUGUCCCGUUACUUGCUCUCUGAAUGUUUGUUUUUUGCAAUUUUUGGCGUAUGCAAUCUCGAAAUAUAUACAAACAUGUUUGACGGUUGGAUCAUUGAAACUAGUUUCGUAGAAUGAGUAUCCC
rnacentral:lncRNA from 1 species